UAAUGACUCACAUAUACCGUAGAACUGCUAACCAACAGUCAUGGAUUAAAGUCCCAUGGAGAGCCAUGCAGCUUCAUCUCACACUGGAGAAACAGAUCAUCUGAGAUUCUUAUCUUAAAGGACCAGGAGGUGAUCGUCGUCAUGGGAACUCUCUCCUUCCCUCUGCUCUUCUGUGUGGCCACUGUGUUCAGCCAGGCCAGCAGCCGGGACGCCCAGGGGAGAGGGAACUACCAGGGGGCUAAAGGUUCCUGCUACUCUCUGUCGGAUGCUGCAGACACAGGGGCUAAAGGUUCCUGCUACUCUCCCUCGGAUGCUGCAGACACAAGGGCUACCACUGAGGUGAAAUCACCGGGCUGGACACUAGACACACGGGUUGAUGGACAGCAAAACCGCCUCCUUUGGUCCCUCCGUUCUACCAAGUCCCACUUUCUAUUCUUCUUUAUUUGUAUUUAUUUAUUGGCCCCUCUAUACUACCACGUCUUCUUCUGCUGCUUGCUAUGAUAACAUGUACUGUAUGUGUGCUCUUGAUAUGAUAACCUUUAUUUGUCCUCUUGAUAACAUUUAUUUGUCCUCUUGAUGUAACAACAUUUAUGUGUGUCCUCGCUUUGUCAAGCACCUUGCAUUGCAACACUGCACAAAGAGAGCUGUAAGGAUUCACUAGACGGGAGGUGUGCAUUCCCUACAACACAGUGGGUCAUUUCUCAAUUACA